GGAGAGACCAGGAAAGAUGGGUUCCCUGGAAACUCAAGCCAGAAGGUACAGUAUGUUACCAUGGAAAUAUUUUAUAUUUAUACAAUACUGUAUAUGAGAUAUUUCACAACUUACACAUGUGUUUGAACAUGAUAAACUCUUUAAACAUAACAGAGAGUCAGAGAGUGCCCUGUCAGCUGGGUCUGUACAUGGUCUAGCACCUUCAGUUCACCAGGACCACUCUAAAGCAUCAUCACCCUCUAAACCCUCCUCUAGAGCCCUUAGAAGUUGAAGUUGAAGAAUACACACACGCACGCACACGCACGCACACGCACGUACACACACACACACACACACACACACACACACAGGGACAUAUUUGUCUAUGAAACUCGAUCCAAUCUAAUGACAUAACACUUAAAAGGCGCGGCCCACCCAAACAUUUUCCUAUACUUGAUAAGGUUUGAGAAUUGGCUAAAGCUGGUCUGCGUUACUCAACACUGCACAUGACAUGCAAAGUCUAUAUCAAGUGUCAUAACAUUCAUAUUGAGAUUGAUGGUGGUGUGACUUGGCCUAUUCUGCCUGUGUGGUUCGUGUGGUUUCCACCCGAACAGUAUUAGCUACGGCAGAGUACUGUUUUGCUGUUUUAGGGAUGUCUUAAGGCCUUCCCUUUUACUGUGUGUGUGUGUGUGUGUGCGCGCUUUCGUGUGUGUGCGUGUGCAUGCCUAAUCCUAAUUGUGCGUGUGUGUUCUAUUUCUACCUCAGGGUGACCAGGGUGUUUCUGGCUCACCAGGUCUGGAUGGUAUUCCUGGACAGAAGGGGGAGGCAGGAUCAAACGGGUCUAAGGGGAUCGAUGGAGCAACGGGUGAGAAGGGACCAGCUGGGGAGCCUGGUGCGGAGGGGAAACCUGGGAUAAAUGGUUUGAAAGGAGACUCAGGUCCUAUUGGCCCCAAAGGUGAUCAAGUAAGUCAUAAUCCUCAUCUAUGGUUUGGUUUUAAACAUUAGUAAAUAGCAUGAGCUGACGCACACCCCAAACUGUUUUAUAGAGGGGCUGACUAACAGACAGUAAACUGUAGGCUAGGAGCUGACUAACAGACAGUAAACUGUAGGCUAGGUGCUGACUAACAGAGAGUCAACUGUAGGCUAGGUGCUGACUAACAGAGAGUCAACUGUAGGCUAGGUGCUGACUAACAGAGAGUCAACUGUAGGCUAGGUGCUGACUAACAGAGUCAACUGUAGGCUAGGUGCUGACUAACAGAGAGUCAACUGUAGGCUAGGUGCUGACUAACAGAGAGUAAACUGUAGGCUAGGUGCUGACUAACAGAGAGUCAACUGUAGGCUAGGUGCUGACUAACAGAGAGUCAACUGUAGGCUAGGUGCUGACUAACAGAGAGUCAACUGUAGGCUAGGUGCUGACUAACAGAGAGUCAACUGUAGGCUAGGUGCUGACUAACAGACAGUAAAUUGUAGGCUAGGUGCUGACUAACAGAGUCAACUGUAGGCUAGGUGCUGACUAACAGAGAGUCAACUGUAGGCUAGGUGCUGACUAACAGACAUUAAACUGUAGGCUAGGUUCUGACUAACAGAGAGUCAACUGUAGGCUAGGUGCUGACUAACAGAGAGUCAACUGUAGGCUAGGUGCUGACUAACAGACAUUAAACUGUAGGCUAGGUUCUGACUAACAGACAGUAAACUGUAGGCUAGGUGCUGACUAACAGAGAGUCAACUGUAGGCUAGGUGCUGACUAACAGAGAGUCAACUGUAGGCUAGGUGCUGACUAACAGAGAGUCAACUGUAGGCUAGGUGCUGACUAACAGACAUUAAACUGUAGGCUAGGUUCUGACUAACAGAGAGUAACUGUAGGCUAGGUGCUGACUAACAGAGAGUCAACUGUAGAGAAAGGUAGAAAGUUGUGUACUCCCUACAUGUUCCCAACUAUUUGAUAGGAAAACAUAACCAAUAUUUCAACAACGCAUUUUCAGGGUGGCUUUGUAUAUUAACAUUGUACAAUCAUGUACACUCAUAGAUAGAUACAAACAUUAGGAAUAAACAGGUCAUGUGACAAAGCACACCACCCAGGUAGCAUUACCGAUCCUCUGACCUCAGAAUCCAAUCUGUUUGACCACUGGUCAUUUCACCAAACAGACUGAACAUCAUUGGGCUGGAACUACUCUCAUCAUUGCACAUUACAAACUUGAUCUGCUGUCCAGCCCAGAUUAUAGCGUUGUACAGAGAGUCCAAUGUAGUAUUUCUGAUCAGUCAGACAUGCCAAUUAUUUGUACCAGACACAUCCUUCUAAAAAACCUCAUGCCUCACUGGUGGUCAGUGUAAACACAUUCUACUACCAUAUUAUUAGACCUCUGAAUGGGUACAUGACAAGUUCAACCAUUUCCAUUAAGCUGGGGAUUUAAAGCAUUCAUAAAAACAGUGGAGACUUGAUUAUCAGCAGUCUUUAUAGCCUGUUCAUUGAAAGGGAAUUUGAUUUACAGUAGACAACUUCCUCUUAUUGCAAUUCAAAAUACACGUAGAAAAGAAUAAAUCUAAUAGCACAGUGGGAUUUCCUUGCUCUGUAAGAGAUGGAAUGUGUUCCGUUCUCUAAUUAGUUACCGUAUUGUUCAUACUUACACGUACGGUACUCAGGCAUGCACACAUACACACAUUAACUCACACUUUCAUUAUUGGUGAGGGAGCGGCUGUAUGAUGGUAGGGUUAUGUGCACAGUCUUCCAGCCUUGAAGUUUUAAUGAGCUAUCUGUUUGGUUCUCUGAGGAGGGAGGCAGGGAGGGAGGGAGGGAGGGGAGAGGGAGAGAGAGAGGGAGAGAGAGAGGGAGAGAGAGAACCAAAUGAGUCUAUUUUGUAGAGCUAUCGGAGGGAGGGGCAAAUGUGAUUAUUUUGGGUGACAACUGUGAAUACAACCAAAACGGUCAUGAAUAACUAAUCAGUCAUAAAUAAUCUUAACUUUCCAGAUCAUAUAGACCUAAUUGGUUAGUGACAAAGUUUGGCAAAUGUCUAAAAACUUUGUACCAUGGUUGCAAGUCAUUGUAAACAAAAUACUGUAGCUCAGUUGGUAGAGAAUCGGUCUGAAGAUGCCAGGAUAGUGGGGUCGAUUCCUGGGACCGUAGGUAAAAAAAUAUAUGCACGCCUGACUAUAAGAUUCUUUGGAUAAAACGUGUCUGGUAAAUGGCAUGUAAGACAAGCAGUGAAGGAAGUCCUUCACUUUAUUAAAGCAGGACAUAACACUUCUUUAUUGACUUCAGUUAUCCACUACACUUACAGUUAUCCACUACACUUACAGUCAUUAUAUUCAUUAUAAAGGACAUGUAUUCAUUAUAAAGGACACAUGUAUUCAUUAUAAAGGACACGUAUUCAUUAUAAAGGACAUGUAUUCAUUAUAAAGGACACAUGUAUUCAUUAUAAAGGACAUGUAUUCAUUAUAAAGGACAUGUAUUCAUUAUAAAGGACAUGUAUUCAUUAUAAAGGACAUGUAUUCAUUAUAAAGGACAUGUAUUCAUUAUAAAGGACAUGUAUUCAUUAUAAAGGACACAUGUAUUCAUUAUAAAGGACACAUGUAUUCAUUAUAAAGGACAUGUAUUCAUUAGAAAGGACAUGUAUUC
ensembl:lncRNA